rfam:Triticum aestivum genome assembly, contig: Triticum_aestivum_CS42_TGACv1_scaffold_196053_3AL
CAUGUACUCCCUCCGGCCCAAAUUACUUGUCUUAGAUUUGUCUAGAUCUGUAUCUAGACACAUUUUAGUGUUAGAUAUAUCCGUAUCUAGACAAAUUUAAGACUAAUAAUUUGGGACGGAGGUAAUACUAU